UACGUAGGGUGCAAGCGUUGUCCGGAAUUAUUGGGCGUAAAGAGCUCGUAGGUGGCCUGUCGCGUCGGCUGUGAAAACUCGGGGCUCAACUCCGAGCUUGCAGUCGAUACGGGCAGGCUAGAGUUCGGCAGGGGAGACUGGAAUUCCUGGUGUAGCGGUGAAAUGCGCAGAUAUCAGGAGGAACACCGGUGGCGAAGGCGGGUCUCUGGGACGGUACUGACGCUGAGACGCGAAAGCGUGGGGAGCAAACAGG
rnacentral:rRNA from 1 species